GAGUCAUGGCCGAAGCCUGGCAAUUUAUUUUUAUUUUUUUAGGUGGGGGAAUGAUACAAGAAGAUCAAUAGCUGACGUAACACCCCACUGCUGCAGACUUCUAAGGGUGUCACUUUUUGCACUGAAAGAUCUUUACCUUUGUCAUGUCCACAAAUUGAGCUGAAAAAUCAAUCAGGGCAUAUGAUGGAGCAGAGAAGAAAACACGCAGACGCAUGAUAUGGGAUAACGUUUGUAGACGGUUGUGAAAAAACGUGCCCCAUUAGUUAUGAAAUGCAGCAUAACUACACAGGCAACCAUUGAAGAGCAUCUCCAUACAAGAAAAAUAUCACGUACAAAACAGUUCUUAUUUUGAGCAGUCAGCAAACACAUGAGUUCAACUUGAUAAACAGACAACCCAAAGGUCAGGACUGGCCUACAAAUUACUUUUAGCACAUUACAAUUUAAGUCAAUUCUUAUUUUAGAUUGUUGAUGCUGAUAUUUGUA